CCGGCUUACCAACCCGAUGCAAACUGCGAAUACCGGAGAAUGUUAUCACGGGAGACACACGGCGGGUGCUAACGUCCGUCGUGAAGAGGGAAACAACCCAGACCGCCAGCUAAGGUCCCAAAGUCAUGGUUAAGUGGGAAACGAUGUGGGAAGGCCCAGACAGCCAGGAUGUUGGCUUAGAAGCAGCCAUCAUUUAAAGAAAGCGUAAUAGCUCACUGGUCGAGUCGGCCUGCGCGGAAGAUGUAACGGGGCUAAACCAUGCACCGAAGCUGCGGCAGCGACACUGUGUGUUGUUGGGUAGGGGAGCGUUCUGUAAGCCUGUGAAGGUGUGUCGUGAGGCAUGCUGGAGGUAUCAGAAGUGCGAAUGCUGACAUAAGUAACGAUAAAGCGGGUGAAAAGCCCGCUCGCCGGAAGACCAAGGGUUCCUGUCCAACGUUAAUCGGGGCAGGGUGAGUCGACCCCUAAGGCGAGGCCGAAAGGCGUAGUCGAUGGGAAACGGGUUAAUAUUCCCGUACUUGGUGUUACUGCGAAGGGGGGACGGAGAAGGCUAUGUUGGCCGGGCGACGGUUGUCCCGGUUUAAGCGUGUAGGUGUGUGUUCCAGGUAAAUCCGGUUCACUUUAACACUGAGGCGUGACGACGAGGCACUACGGUGCUGAAGCAACAAAUGCCCUGCUUCCAGGAAAAGCCUCUAAGCAUCAGGUAACAUCAAAUCGUACCCCAAACCGACACAGGUGGUCAGGUAGAGAAUACCAAGGCGCUUGAGAGAACUCGGGUGAAGGAACUAGGCAAAAUGGUGCCGUAACUUCGGGAGAAGGCACGCUGACACGUAGGUGAAGUGAUUUACUCAUGGAGCUGAAGUCAGUCGAAGAUACCAGCUGGCUGCAACUGUUUAUUAAAAACACAGCACUGUGCAAACACGAAAGUGGACGUAUACGGUGUGACGCCUGCCCGGUGCCGGAAGGUUAAUUGAUGGGGUCAGCGCAAGCGAAGCUCCUGAUCGAAGCCCCGGUAAACGGCGGCCGUAACUAUAACGGUCCUAAGGUAGCGAAAUUCCUUGUCGGGUAAGUUCCGACCUGCACGAAUGGCGUAAUGAUGGCCAGGCUGUCUCCACCCGAGACUCAGUGAAAUUGAACUCGCUGUGAAGAUGCAGUGUACCCGCGGCAAGACGGAAAGACCCCGUGAACCUUUACUAUAGCUUGACACUGAACAUUGAGCCUUGAUGUGUAGGAUAGGUGGGAGGCUUUGAAGUGUGGACGCCAGUCUGCAUGGAGCCGACCUUGAAAUACCACCCUUUAAUGUUUGAUGUUCUAACGUGGACCCGUUACCCGGGUUGCGGACAGUGUCUGGUGGGUAGUUUGACUGGGGCGGUCUCCUCCUAAAGAGUAACGGAGGAGCAC
rnacentral:rRNA from 1 species